rnacentral:lncRNA from 1 species
UCAUUUAACUUAUUAGAUUAAAAUUUAUUAGGACUUAAGAAAUCCUAAUCUAAUUAGGACAUAUUAAAUUUCAGUCCUAAUCUAAUUAGGACUCUAGAAAUCCUACUCCUAGUAGGACUCUAAUUUAAUUUGAAAUCCUAAUCUAAUUAGGAUUCUUAGAAUCCUACUCUAAGUAGGACUCGUGUCUAAUAUGAUCAAGUCCAAUUAAUUAAAUCCAAUUAAUUAAAUUAAAUUACAAUCAAAUUGCAAUUAUUCCUUCUUCAACUUGCUAGUUAUCAAUCAAAUUGAUAAUUAUAAAUUAUUUGUGAUUCCUAAUCACAAUUCAACCAUUGGAUCAGUCAAUACCUCUAAUGUGUGUGACCCCAUAGGUUCUAUUCUGUCUGGUAGUGAGAUAUAUUGCGAUCUCUAUCACAAUAUCAUUGAAAACUCCUUUCAAUGGGUUGGAACAAUUCCAACUCUUCUCAUUCGGGUUCACUGAUCACCAAGUGAAUGCCUUUGAGUCUCACAAUCCACCAGUGACUCCUAGCAUCAUGUAGUGGCAACCCAGCAGAAUGAAAUGAUGAACCUCUAGGUGUAGUUAGUGUAUGAUACAGUCCCUCUAUCGUGGAUUCCGACAAGACGGAGGUCAUGGAUAACUCGUCAAACCCCUAUCGUCUGUCAUAUGUCAAGAUUUAUUCGACUUAAUUUUGAGAACGGAAAACUCCUUUUCCACUAUACAUACUACCCCGGCCGAGGAUUUACGAACUCAGUCUCAUAAAUCACAUAUGAUCUCUCUUAACCUAUCAAGGUCGAUAGAUUCCAUCUAGAUGCACCCCUACUCCUACAAUGAACCUACUGCAGCCAAUCUGCACUACAAGAACCCAAAUGGCUAGGGCUCAUGUUUAUGUGCUCGUCAAAUUACAGCAACCUCACUGUGAAUAGUUGAGGCAUCGCAGGUCAAAGGACCAGUCAUACAACUGCAGCAUCAAGUAAGUCACUGACGAGCGGAUAGACAUCCAAGU